AGAGUUUGAUCAUGGCUCAGAGCGAACGCUGGCGGCAGGCCUAACACAUGCAAGUCGAGCGGUCGUAGCAAUACGGCAGCGGCAGACGGGAGAGUAACACGUGGGAACGCGCCCUUCGGUUCGGGAUAACCCAGGGAAACUUGGGCUAAUACCGGAUACGCCCUUACGGGGAAAGAUUUAUUGCCGAAGGAACGGCCCGCGUCCGAUUAGCUAGUCGGUGAGGUAACGGCUCACCAAGGCGACGAUCGGUAGCUGGUCUGAGAGGAUGACCAGCCUCACUGGGACUGAGACACGGCCCAGACUCCUACGGGAGGCAGCAGUGGGGAAUAUUGGACAAUGGGCGCAAGCCUGAUCCAGCCAUGCCGCGUGGGUGAUGAAGGCCCUAGGGUUGUAAAGCCCUUUCAGCGGGGAAGAUAAUGACGGUACCCGCAGAAGAAGCCCCGGCUAACUUCGUGCCAGCAGCCGCGGUAAUACGAAGGGGGCUAGCGUUGCUCGGAAUUACUGGGCGUAAAGCGCACGUAGGCGGCUUUCUAAGUCGGGGGUGAAAUCCUGGAGCUCAACUCCAGAACUGCCUUCGAUACUGGAAAGCUCGAGUCCGGGAGAGGUGAGUGGAACUGCGAGUGUAGAGGUGAGAUUCGUAGAUAUUCGCAAGAACACCAGU
rnacentral:rRNA from 1 species